GGUGAGUCCCUGGCUGCGUCCUGCUGCUCCCAGCCGCUCCCCCGGUGGAACCCGUUGUUAAGAUUUUGGCAGCUCAUCACUGGUUGAGUCAACAUAAGCUGCCUUGCAUCAACCUAACUCUGGAGUGUAGAUCAGAUCUCAAUCAAAUAGAUCUAUUUGGGAAGUUCCCCAGAGCAGGAAGCUGGACUUGUCAAUAUCCAGAAAUAGAGACCACUCAUGGUGAUUGAAGAAAGUCCUACUCAGUCAACCCACCAAUGUUUUCUGCUUCCCUGGAAGCAGAUCCUGGGAGAUGCACAAGAAGAAAAAGAAUGGCCCUCAAUCUCUUCCGCUACUCCUCUCUACCUAUAAGAGGCGCUCAGGAGCAAACAGUCAUAAGGAAGUGGAGAAAGCAGGAACCCAGAAGAGCUUCCUUUUUCCUACACUCUGGGCAGGAGAUCUGGAGAGUAAACAACCUCUUCCCUUAGCUGUAACUUCCCUUAGCUGUCACCUGCUUCCCAACCUGGUGUCUGGGGCUGCCUGCAAGCCAUAGUUACCUCAGUAGGUUCUGAUCUUGCUAUUUAAAACAUUAUAAACUAAAAUUUGAUCUCAUGCAACAGAUACUAAUUAGAUGACUUCGGUGAAUAAAAUUUUUUAUCUUACUCCUUUUUCUUUUUCUUUUUUUGGCUACAGAGUGACAAAACAAUUUGAAGAUUUUCUGAACACACCAUUAUGUCAGUUCAGGAAUCCUUUUUCCCUAAUUUAUUUUAAAUUUAGCCAAAUAUACAUAUUU